rnacentral:rRNA from 1 species
GUUGAACGCUGGCGGCAGGCUAUACACAUGCAAGUCGAACGAGUGGCGGACGGGUGAGUAAUGAAUGGGAAUCUAGCUUAUGGAGGGGGAUAACUACGGGAAACUGUAGCUAAUACCGCGUACCAUAGGAUGUGCCCAAGGGGGGUUAGGGAGUUGGUGAGGUAAAUGGUCACCAAGCGGACGACCUCUAGCUGGUCUGAGAGGGUGACCCGCCACACUGGGACUGAGACACGGCCCAGACUCCUACGGGAGGCAGCAGUGGGGAAUAUGGCGCAAUGGGGGCAACCUGACGCAGCCAUGCCGCGUGAAUGAAGAAGGCCUUCGGGUUGUAAAGUUCUUUCGGUAGCGAGGCGUUAACUACAGAAGAAGCACCGGCUAACUCCGUGCUAGCAGCCGCGGUAAUUC